rnacentral:misc_RNA from 1 species
UGUUCGAGCGCCAUUUCAACCCUCGAGCCCUGCUCGGUGAUGGGCCCCGUCCUUGCAGACGGGCCCGAAACCCGUGGGCGCCGACGUCCGGUCCUGAGCGUAGCAAGAGAAAUCCCUCGCUCGGGCACCGUCCGCCGGCCGCCUCGACCCAAACUCACAAGGUUGGCCUCGGAUCAGGCGGGAAUACCCGCUGAACUUAA